GUGACGUCAUUCAUGGACGGCCCCUAACAACAAAACAGCACAAUGAAACGAUGGGCGUCUCAGCCUUUUCCUUGUAAACCGAGGAGGUCGCACUGCAGGGGUCGCGUGCCAUUACACGAGGGAGGGAAGCCUCGCCCAGGACCCGUGCACCGCACCACACGCAGCUCGUCGUCGGAAAACACAGGGGCACCGUCGAUCGAGCGCAUGCACGGAGGUUCGCCGUCCGAUGACAGCUGCUGACGGCACCGUUCCCGAAAAGCAGCCCGCGGGCGUGAAGUGACGCCGCCGUUUGUUUUAAAGGUCACCAAAAGAACCCCAACCGCUUCUCGGGACCCGGCAUGGUCGCCGCAGAAUUCUCCCGAGCCCCACCAAAGCGAUUACGGCUACACAAUUAAUACAUACAAUUCUCGUUUCGCCUAAUUAGUUUACCCGUGUUAACAUUUUUGACUUACAUUUUUUUUCUAAUCCGGUGUUAUUUUUACCUGCUAUACAAGUGUUAUUGAAUUUUAUUUUUUAAAACCGUUCCCUAGGUCAUAAUAACAUUGUUAAAUAUUUAAGAAUUUUAUAGUGUUGCCAUAAAUCUACGCACGGUGCGCACUGCAUAUAACAUUGUGUUGGUGUCGUGUAAGGCGCCUUUGGGGAAUCCUCUCAAUUGGAGGGCGAGAUGGUGGUGAGAGACAGAGGGUGGUGAGCACGUGGUGAGUAAGCGGUAGGAGGGCGAGCGGGUGGUGAGUAAGCGGUGGGCAGGUGAGCGAGUGGAGGGUGAGCGAGCGAGCGAGCGGUACUGUGGGUCUACCGAGCCCGAACGCGAAAUGCCGCGUUGCCACCAGCGCCACUCGCUGUCACCGCUAGGCAGAUCUAGUCCAAUGCAUCCACCAGGUUUGUACAGACGCCCAUCGCAGUGUUCAGCACUCCUUGAAAAUAAACAAAAAUCUCACAAUGCUCGUCAUUAACACUGCCUUGCAACAGAAAACACAUAACAGGGCUCUGCUUCAGAGAUAGAAGGCAAUGAGAUUGACUGCUUUGUAGUUGGAGAUCGCACUUCAUGCCGUGGGGGCUCAGACAGAAUUGGGAUUUGUGACAAAUGAACAGUUGUGAAUUGACAUCGAAAGGUUUCCCAUGAGCAGACAUUGAGCAGCAAACCAACCCUUCGAAAAAAAUGCCUACAAAGUAAAAUCAUCAAAUGUCACUGCUACACUGCAUCAUGAGAAGUGGCACCGUGAUGCAGAGACCAUUAUUACGCUCAAUUAAAAAAGAUAAAUAUCCACAUGAAAAGUUGGGCUUCAAAAGCAUGAAAGACCCUAAAAAGCAAUUCACGAAACAUUAUGCAUAAGCAUAGAUUUGGUAACACUUUCCCGCGUGAGAUUGUCUGAUAAUAUAUGCAUUGUCUUUUAAAUUGAUUGGUCCACACCAGACAGCUUUCUCACCCCGAGCUCUCAUUACUCUG